rnacentral:rRNA from 1 species
GAUGAACGCUGGCGGCGUGCCUAAUACAUGCGAGUCGAACGCUGAAGGAAGGAGCUUGCUCUUUCCGGAUGAGUUGCGAACGGGUGAGUAACGCGUAGGUAACCUGCCUGGUAGCGGGGGAUAACUAUUGGAAACGAUAGCUAAUACCGCAUAACAGUAGAUGUUGCAUGAUAUCUACUUAAAAGGUGCAAUUGCACCACUACCAGAUGGACCUGCGUUGUAUUAGCUAGUUGGUGAGGUAACGGCUCACCAAGGCGACGAUACAUAGCCGACCUGAGAGGGUGAUCGGCCACACUGGGACUGAGACACGGCCCAGACUCCUACGGGAGGCAGCAGUAGGGAAUCUUCGGCAAGGGACGGAAGUCUGGCCGAGCAACGCCGCGUGAGUGAAGAAGGGUGUCGGAUCGUAAAGCUCUGUUGUAAGAGAAGAACGAGUGUGAGAGUGGAAAGUUCACACUGUGACGGUAUCUUACCAGAAAGGGACGGCUAACUACGUG